rnacentral:rRNA from 1 species
GAUGAACGCUGGCGGCGUGCCUAAUACAUGCAAGUCGAGCGAACAGACGAGGAGCUUGCUCCUCUGACGUUAGCGGCGGACGGGUGAGUAACACGUGGAUAACCUACCUAUAAGACUGGGAUAACUUCGGGAAACCGGAGCUAAUACCGGAUAAUAUAUUGAACCGCAUGGUUCAAUAGUGAAAGACGGUUUUGCUGUCACUUAUAGAUGGAUCCGCGCCGCAUUAGCUAGUUGGUAAGGUAACGGCUUACCAAGGCAACGAUGCGUAGCCGACCUGAGAGGGUGAUCGGCCACACUGGAACUGAGACACGGUCCAGACUCCUACGGGAGGCAGCAGUAGGGAAUCUUGCACAAUGGGCGAAAGCCUGACGCAGCAACGCCGCGUGAGUGAUGAAGGUCUUCGGAUCGUAAAACCCUGUUAUUAGGGAAGAACAAAUGUGUAAGUAACUAUGCAUGUCUUGACGGUACCUAAUCAGAAAGCCACGGCUAACUACGUG